rnacentral:rRNA from 1 species
UACGAAGGGGGCGAGCGUUGGUCGGAUUUACUGGGCGUAAAGGGCGCGCAGGCGGCUCAUUUUGUCAGGCGUGAAAGCCCCGGGCUUAACCUGGGAACUGCGUUUGAUACGGGUGGGCUAGAGUUCGGGAGAGGAGAGUGGAAUUCUCAGUGUAGAGGUGAAAUUCGUAGAUAUUGGGAAGAACACCGGUGGCGAAGGCGGCUCUCUGGGCCGAUACUGACGCUGAGGCGCGAAAGCGUGGGGAGCAAACAGG